AGUAUCAGUGCUCCAUCUAUAGGCCUAACAAAGGGGUGUUGAUAGACUUUUGAUUGGCUGAGCCACCAUCUAUUUGAAAACAAGCGACUUUGAUUGGCUGGAGACAGGAAGUUAUGUUUUGAAAACAAAGGGGGUUUUCAUCAACUGACUUUGAGCUUUAAGGUAUAAUUGAGUAACAUAAAGACUUAUAAUUCUAGUUUAAAAUGUCUUGAAUAACUUUCAGCAUGAAGUAUUGUGUGGUGAAAACAAUGUGUAUGUACUACAAUGUGUAAAUCAACAAUAAGUUUGUUGCAAAGGAGAUUCAAAGUGGAUGGUUAAAGUGAUAUGGUCUCAUAAUUCAUCAACUGCCUGUUAUCUUGGAAUACUGAAGAACAGUUGUUUUAGGUUAAACUCCCAAGGUGAAAUUUACAUUGAUUGGAAGAUUCUUUGGAUAGAAUAUUCCUGCCAAAAGACAGCAGAAGGGGGACUAACUGAUGUAUGGAUUUUGACACCAGAUUUUACCCUGCACGAGCAGCCCAACUUUAGUAGAUCAGGAGUGGGAAAACCGAGCCCUGUCCUUGACCAAGGAAAGUUGGAUUUGUUGAGAGGUAAAACUAUACAGGUUUUAGCAUUUGAAAGGCGUCACACUUCCGACCAGUCCACACAGCCAAAUGGGACCACAUAUCUUGGACCUGAUCUCAAAUGAGAUCAUGCACAAGACGCACCUCGCAAAGGCCAUGACAGUAUAGUUUUCAGACCUGAUCAGCUGGUGACUGCUCUAUGAAGUGCUGUUCAACCUCCCCUAAGGGGGAGAUUCGAGAGGGUCUCCUGAUUGCUGAACACUACGCCAUGGUUGUUGUCAUCUCCAAAAAGUUUGCCCUGCCCAUAUCAACAGUGGAAGAGAACAUGAGAUGGGCCUUGAGGAGGCUUCGUGUCAUGUACUGCGGGGAGAAUAUAUAAACUGUUUAGUGCUGAGCAAUAUGUUCCUUUGUUCAUAUGUGUAAAUAUGUGUAAAGGGCUAUUCCAGGAAAAGAUAGGAUGAAGGAUUCCUUAAUGUUGUCAUUUUAUAAAUCCGGUACCACCAACACAGUUAAAAACAAUUAUUAUUAAUUUUAUCCUCUGUAUCACCCCUCACUAACUGAAACUGUAUAUAAUCAUGGUUCAUACCCUUCCUCCCAUUUUUACCUGUGGUAGCCCAAAGAGGAGAAUGUUAUUUAUUUUAAUUUAUUAUGUUAAAUGUGCUCGCAUAUUGUGAUAAUGUAUCUUGGGCAGAUGUUUUCCUGGUUUUGUUAAAAAUGCACUGUAAAAAUGUUCACAUUAUUUGUUUUUUUUAAUAUAAACAUUGUUUUUUGCAAAUUGUGUGUGUCUUUUAUUUAUAAUCACAUGGGGCUUGUAAUGAUCUGUUGUGAUUUUAUCUCAAAUAACCUUUUUACCAUUAAGGUGUAAAUAUUUUUUUUUUACAAAGGUUACAGGUCAAACAAGCAAAAUUUUAUGAUCCCUUAAGCGAACAAAAGACUCACAAAAACCAACUUAAACACA